UACGGGGGGGGCAAGCGUUGUUCGGAAUUACUGGGCGUAAAGGGCUCGUAGGUGGCCAACUAAGUCAGACGUGAAAUCCCUCGGCUUAACCGGGGAACUGCGUCUGAUACUGGAUGGCUUGAGUUCGGGAGAGGGAUGCGGAAUUCCAGGUGUAGCGGUGAAAUGCGUAGAUAUCUGGAGGAACACCGGUGGCGAAGGCGGCUUUCUGGUCUGUAACUGACGCUGAGGCGCGAAAGCGUGGGGAGCAAACAGG
rnacentral:rRNA from 1 species